rnacentral:rRNA from 1 species
GAUGAACGCUGGCGGCGUGCCUAACACAUGCAAGUCGAGCGAACGGACGAGAAUCUUGCUUCUCUGAUGUUAGCGGCGGACGGGUGAGUAACACGUGGCUAACCUACCUAUAAGACUGGGAUAACUUCGGGAAACCGGAGCUAAUACCGGAUAAUAUUGUGAACCGCAUGGUUCAAAAGUGAAAGCCGGUUUUGCUGUCACUUAUAGAUGUAUCCGCGCUGCAUUAGCUAGUUGGUAAGGUAACGGCUUACCAAGGCAACGAUGCAUAGCCGACCUGAGAGGGUGAUCGGGCACACUGGAACUGAGACACGGUCCAGACUCCUACGGGAGGCAGCAGUAGGGAAUCUUCGGAAAUGGGCGAAAGCCUGACGGAGCAACGCCGCGUGAGUGAUGAAGGUCUUCGGAUCGGAAAACUCUGUUAGUAGGGAAGAACAUAUGUGUAAGUAACUGUGCACAUCUUGACGGUACCUAAUCAAAAAGCCACGGCUAACUACGUG